UCGAAACCAAAGGAAGAGGGCAGCAGUGUUGCAGGGCCUACUGUUGUACAUGAGAAUCCCUCUGCAUUCAUGAAGAUGUGUGAGAGCCAGACAUGCUGUUUUAUUUUCUCAUUGAUUCAGUCCGUAUCAAAGGAAGCAUAAGGAUGGAAAAUGGGAGCAUAAUUCCUGUGUCAAAAAAGCAUAUAUAAAUCCCCAACACCUUAUUGUGUGGCUUUUUGUUUUAAAAGGUUAUAUUGGCACACAAUAACAAAAACAAACCAACAGAUUGGUAGACCAGUAACUCCAGUGUUCUACGAGUGGCUUAAAUAUGUUUUGCUGCUGCGAUGUCCACAGCAAUACAUUGCUCAGCUUCCAUGUUUUUUCUCCUGUCUGCUUCUCCAAACUGGGGGUGUGUCAACCGCCAUCUACUAUAGAAAGCCAAAGGAUUCUGAAGAAGACAUCAUCAAGGAAAUGGUGACUGGAAUCCUUUUAGUAGCUGAAGAUGUGAAGGAACCCCUUCGAGUUUCCUACAACGAUGUUGCUAUUGUGAUUGCGGAAAAGAUUGUCAUGUGUCACUUGCUUGAGGUACCCAAUGCUUUUGUGAACCUGAUGGGACUGCUGUACAUGCUGAACCUUGACUAUCCAAAAGACUUAAAAUACACUUUUGAGGUGACUCAGCGCCUGUUCAUGGGAAUUGGGUUGGACUCCUGCACUGCCAGGGUCCACACACUGAAGACCAAAUUGUUAACUGUUCUGACUGACAGUUUCUCAGUUAGAGAAUUUUUCUAAGUUUUUCUGCAUUUUACUGCAGCAACCCUCAGCACUCAUUCCCCCAACUGGAGUAUAUUGAACAAGUCACUUAAAAUCUUUUUUUUCUCUCAUUAAAGGAGGUUGCCCUGAUUUUUAUGUGUGGGACACUAAUUUCAGUUUUUGAGCAGCCCUGAGCCAAGAGCAAGGAUGUGUGAGAGGGCCUGAAGGCUUUUGUUUUGUCUACACACUGAUUUUAGUUUUAAAAGCAACACUGAACACUUGUGAGUGAAUGGGUUGAAGUUGAAGUACACUUUACAUGAAUAAAAUUCUUGACUGAAA